UACGUAGGGGGCAAGCGUUGUCCGGAAUCAUUGGGCGUAAAGCGCGUGUAGGCGGCUGAGUAAGUCUGCUCUGAAAGCCCGGGGCUCAACCCCGGGAGGCGGGUGGAUACUGCUCAGCUCGAGUCCGGAAGAGGAGUGUGGAAUUCCUGGUGUAGCGGUGAAAUGCGCAGAUAUCAGGAGGAACACCAAUGGCGAAGGCAGCACUCUGGGACGGUACUGACGCUGAGACGCGAAAGCGUGGAGAGCAAACAGG
rnacentral:rRNA from 1 species